UCCACUACACCUAUUUAUACACCUUUUAUUAGUAUUCCACCACCCGCCAUAACUUUACCAUCCACUGCUGCUCCACCUCCCACUACAUUCGUGCCAACACCUGAGGAGACCUCACUUGUCGGAUCAUCAUUGAAGAGUUCAAAGCCCUAAAUGUAGAUUGAGAAUGAUAGGUAAUAAAAUUUAUUAUUUUUUUAAUAUUGAUAAUUACUGUAACUACAUUCAAAUUUCUUAUCUAAACUAACUGCAUUAAAUUCCUUGUAAACAGGCUGGUAUACUCUCAUUAUUGCUCGGCGAGAUCUUCAAGAACGUCAUAGAGCGUGGGGGCUAUGCAUGGUGAUUCGUGCCUAAGGAGACAAAGUACUCGUACUUCACAGAGUUGAAGAAAUUUUCACCUGGAACUGAAGGUACGAGGACCAGCUCCAACCUAUAUGAGAUAGGCAGGUAGCCGAGAGAUACCGUGAUAUGGUAUCCACUAGAAAAGGAGUAGGAAACGGCCUCGAUGUGUCAUGGAGGACACCUGGGCCCACUUAACAGGCUACUAGAAGAGGUCCUAGGUGAAGGCAGCCACUAAGACACACAGCAAUAACGUCUCAACGAGGUUGUCAGCCCUGGUACAAGCCCUGCUCGUCACACUGCUGGAUCUAGGACGGUCAUUGACCACCGAGGGCACUGGGAGUUGGGCUGCGAGCCUACCGCCUUUGAGUUGUUUCGCCGGUUGCACAACAAGAUCGACAACCAGUUCAUCGACAACAAGUCUCAACAUAUCGUUCCCGGGGAGGGUUCUUUCAAUCCUCCACCGAUUGACAUGUCGCAGCUGUUUGUCGACGUCGUCAACGGGGAGAAGAAACAACACAUAUACUGCCUGGGCUCAGAGGCGCCCACCUUCACCCAACCCUGCAGCUCCAACAACACUGCCUCUGAUCGCUCGGAGGAGGCACUCAGAUGUGAUAUACGAGCGAAGCUAGAUCAGGAGUACAACACCUGCAUAGCAGAUCUCGAGCGGACGAUGCAACACAUGGUUCACAUGUUUGGUGCUGACUUUGUUCCACCAGUUGCACCUACUCCAGCCGGUGCAUCUGCGAAUACUACCCCGGAUCCUUCGGCUCAAGACCACAACUCCUCCUUUGGCUCAAGGACUCCUCCUUCUCGUCAACUGCUUCCGAUUAGAGACUUUUCCGUUUAUACUUUACUUUAUUAUUGUUUUGUACAAUAUUUUGACUUUGCAUUUUUUGUAUAUUAUUAUUUUUAUUUUCUAAUUUUAAUUUCUUA